UACGUAGGGUGCGAGCGUUAAUCGGAAUUACUGGGCGUAAAGCGUGCGCAGGCUGUUUUGUAAGUCAGAUGUGAAAUCCCCGAGCUCAACUUGGGAACUGCGUUUGAAACUACAAGACUAGAAUAUGUCAGAGGGGGGUAGAAUUCCACGUGUAGCAGUGAAAUGCGUAGAGAUGUGGAGGAAUACCAAUGGCGAAGGCAGCCCCCUGGGAUCAAUAUUAGUA
rnacentral:rRNA from 1 species